ensembl:lncRNA
GUAGAGUACAUCUCCUCUCUCUGCGACACUGUGAGGUGGUAGGUAGAGUACAUCUCCUCUCUCUGCGACACUGUGAGGUGGUAGGUAGAGUACAUCUCCUCUCUCUGCAACACUGUGGUGUGGUAGGUAGAUUAUGUCUCUCUCUGCAGCACUGUGGUGUGGUAGGUAGAGUACAUCUCCUCUCUCUGCAGCACUGUGGUGUGGUAGGUAGAGUACAUCUCCUCUCUCUGCAACACUGUGGUGUGGUAGGUAGAUUAUGUCUCUCUGCGGCACUGUGGUGUGGUAGGUAGAGGUAGAUUAUGUCUCUCUGCGGCACUGUGGUGUGGUAGGUAGAUUAUGUUUCUCUCUGCGGCACUGUGGUGUGGUAGGUAGAGGUAGAUUAUGUCUCUCUCUGCAGCACUGUGGUGUGGUAGGUAGAUUAUGUCUCUCUCUGCGGCACUGUGGUGUGGUAGGUAGAAUUUUGCUCUCUGGUUUAAUUGGUCAAGUAAAAGUAGUGCUUACAGAAUAAGGUGGAUAUUUUGUUUUUAAAUAGCUGGUAUCUAUUCAUGUUUAUUAGACAUUUCAAUCUUAUUACAAGUUACAUUGUUUUUGUUUUAUAUAUUUGUUUUCUGCAAUAACAACAUCCGUUGUAGCUGCAUUUACUGCUGGUCCAGUUAGACUCCAUGUUAAUAUGUAGUAUUCUUCAGUUCUCUCUGGUAGCAACCAGCUAGCGACACAGAGGACAGCCUCCGGACAGGCCUUCUGUACUCUUCUAUAUGAUCAGUUUAGAUUCUAAUCUAUAACAAUAAUAUGUUUUCUGUAACGUUACCGUAAUCGUUCUAUAGCGUUAUUGAUAAUCCCUGGAUGCUACUGCGUUUUUUGUUCUGCAUGACUGAAAAUGGAAUUAACGCAACAAACCAGCCGGCGAGAUCGACCCAGAGUCGACCUUUUAUCAGAACCUUCUUUUUCUUUCUGUCCACUAGUUUUUUUUUAAAUGUUGUGUUUUUCAUGUCGUUGUUGUUUCUACUUCUCUGAUGAACAACUGUGGGUGUGUAGCGGAAUGCAUCUUAUGAGCACAAGAUGUUGAAAAUAAGUCUUUCAAACUAUUUUGCUCACUGGGUAGAUAGGCAGCUGCAGCUUGUGAAACGAACUUGUUUUACUAACUCCUGUACCAAGGCAGCAGACAUUCCUUCCUAUAGGGAACCUAGGACAGGUGUUGCAUUCAUAUCAGUAUUAGUAUAGCUACUAACUUAGUAACAGAAAGGUGGUGAUUUAGUGUUGCAACAUUCCGGAAACAUUCCCUGAAAAUUCCUUGAUUUUUUUCCGGAAAAUCCUGGUUGGAAAAUCCACAAAUCUUCCAAACAACCAGAAUUGAUAGAAAACCUGAGAAUUUUGGGGGAUGUAACCGUAAGGUGCAAAUCUAGUGGUGAAGGUGACAGAACAUGGUUAAAGCUUAAGGGUUGAUGAAGCACUGUCUAUACAGCUCUUAUAUGCCCUUACAUUCCAUCAUCCCAAGUCAAAUCUAUAGUUCCUGUAACUACACCAAGGCUACACGUCCUACAUGGAACCCUAUUCCCAAUGUAAAGCUUCACACUUUGUCUGGCCACAUUUAGUGCAUAACGAUUAGGGAUGUCAUUAGGGACGGAGCCUAAACCAUAUUCUCUCAGAGACCGGAUCCAGCUGAACCUAAACCAUAUUCUCUCUGAGACCGGAUCCAGCUGAACCUAAACCAUAUUCUCUCAGAGACUGGAUCCAGCUGAACCUAAACCAUAUUCUCUCAGAGACCGGAUCCAGCUGAACCUAAACCAUAUUCUCUCAGAGACCGGAUCCAGC